GGGUUGUGAGGUUAAGCGACUAAGCGUACACGGUGGAUGCCCUGGCAGUCAGAGGCGAUGAAGGACGUGCUAAUCUGCGAUAAGCGUCGGUAAGGUGAUAUGAACCGUUAUAACCGGCGAUUUCCGAAUGGGGAAACCCAGUGUGUUUCGACACACUAUCAUUAACUGAAUCCAUAGGUUAAUGAGGCGAACCGGGGGAACUGAAACAUCUAAGUACCCCGAGGAAAAGAAAUCAACCGAGAUUCCCCCAGUAGCGGCGAGCGAACGGGGAGCAGCCCAGAGCCUGAAUCAGUGUGUGUGUUAGUGGAAGCGUCUGGAAAGGCGCGCGAUACAGGGUGACAGCCCCGUACACAAAAAUGCACAUGCUGUGAGCUCGAUGAGUAGGGCGGGACACGUGGUAUCCUGUCUGAAUAUGGGGGGACCAUCCUCCAAGGCUAAAUACUCCUGACUGACCGAUAGUGAACCAGUACCGUGAGGGAAAGGCGAAAAGAACCCCGGCGAGGGGAGUGAAAAAGAACCUGAAACCGUGUACGUACAAGCAGUGGGAGCACGCUUCGGCGUGUGACUGCGUACCUUUUGUAUAAUGGGUCAGCGACUUAUAUUCUGUAGCAAGGUUAACCGAAUAGGGGAGCCGAAGGGAAACCGAGUCUUAACUGGGCGUUAAGUUGCAGGGUAUAGACCCGAAACCCGGUGAUCUAGCCAUGGGCAGGUUGAAGGUUGGGUAACACUAACUGGAGGACCGAACCGACUAAUGUUGAAAAAUUAGCGGAUGACUUGUGGCUGGGGGUGAAAGGCCAAUCAAACCGGGAGAUAGCUGGUUCUCCCCGAAAGCUAUUUAGGUAGCGCCUCGUGAAUUCAUCUCCGGGGGUAGAGCACUGUUUCGGCAAGGGGGUCAUCCCGACUUACCAACCCGAUGCAAACUGCGAAUACCGGAGAAUGUUAUCACGGGAGACACACGGCGGGUGCUAACGUCCGUCGUGAAGAGGGAAACAACCCAGACCGCCAGCUAAGGUCCCAAAGUCAUGGUUAAGUGGGAAACGAUGUGGGAAGGCCCAGACAGCCAGGAUGUUGGCUUAGAAGCAGCCAUCAUUUAAAGAAAGCGUAAUAGCUCACUGGUCGAGUCGGCCUGCGCGGAAGAUGUAACGGGGCUAAACCAUGCACCGAAGCUGCGGCAGCGACGCUGAUGCGUUGUUGGGUAGGGGAGCGUUCUGUAAGCCUGCGAAGGUGUGCUGUGAGGCAUGCUGGAGGUAUCAGAAGUGCGAAUGCUGACAUAAGUAACGAUAAAGCGGGUGAAAAGCCCGCUCGCCGGAAGACCAAGGGUUCCUGUCCAACGUUAAUCGGGGCAGGGUGAGUCGACCCCUAAGGCGAGGCCGAAAGGCGUAGUCGAUGGGAAACAGGUUAAUAUUCCUGUACUUGGUGUUACUGCGAAGGGGGGACGGAGAAGGCUAUGUUGGCCGGGCGACGGUUGUCCCGGUUUAAGCGUGUAGGCUGGUUUUCCAGGCAAAUCCGGAAAAUCAAGGCUGAGGCGUGAUGACGAGGCACUACGGUGCUGAAGCAACAAAUGCCCUGCUUCCAGGAAAAGCCUCUAAGCAUCAGGUAACAUCAAAUCGUACCCCAAACCGACACAGGUGGUCAGGUAGAGAAUACCAAGGCGCUUGAGAGAACUCGGGUGAAGGAACUAGGCAAAAUGGUGCCGUAACUUCGGGAGAAGGCACGCUGAUAUGUAGGUGAGGUCCCUCGCGGAUGGAGCUGAAAUCAGUCGAAGAUACCAGCUGGCUGCAACUGUUUAUUAAAAACACAGCACUGUGCAAACACGAAAGUGGACGUAUACGGUGUGACGCCUGCCCGGUGCCGGAAGGUUAAUUGAUGGGGUUAGCCGCAAGGCGAAGCUCUUGAUCGAAGCCCCGGUAAACGGCGGCCGUAACUAUAACGGUCCUAAGGUAGCGAAAUUCCUUGUCGGGUAAGUUCCGACCUGCACGAAUGGCGUAAUGAUGGCCAGGCUGUCUCCACCCGAGACUCAGUGAAAUUGAACUCGCUGUGAAGAUGCAGUGUACCCGCGGCAAGACGGAAAGACCCCGUGAACCUUUACUAUAGCUUGACACUGAACAUUGAGCCUUGAUGUGUAGGAUAGGUGGGAGGCUUUGAAGUGUGGACGCCAGUCUGCAUGGAGCCGACCUUGAAAUACCACCCUUUAAUGUUUGAUGUUCUAACGUUGACCCGUAAUCCGGGUUGCGGACAGUGUCUGGUGGGUAGUUUGACUGGGGCGGUCUCCUCCUAAAGAGUAACGGAGGAGCACGAAGGUUGGCUAAUCCUGGUCGGACAUCAGGAGGUUAGUGCAAUGGCAUAAGCCAGCUUGACUGCGAGCGUGACGGCGCGAGCAGGUGCGAAAGCAGGUCAUAGUGAUCCGGUGGUUCUGAAUGGAAGGGCCAUCGCUCAACGGAUAAAAGGUACUCCGGGGAUAACAGGCUGAUACCGCCCAAGAGUUCAUAUCGACGGCGGUGUUUGGCACCUCGAUGUCGGCUCAUCACAUCCUGGGGCUGAAGUAGGUCCCAAGGGUAUGGCUGUUCGCCAUUUAAAGUGGUACGCGAGCUGGGUUUAGAACGUCGUGAGACAGUUCGGUCCCUAUCUGCCGUGGGCGCUGGAGAACUGAGGGGGGCUGCUCCUAGUACGAGAGGACCGGAGUGGACGCAUCACUGGUGUUCGGGUUGUCAUGCCAAUGGCACUGCCCGGUAGCUAAAUGCGGAAGAGAUAAGUGCUGAAAGCAUCUAAGCACGAAACUUGCCCCGAGAUGAGUUCUCCCUGACUCCUUGAGAGUCCUGAAGGAACGUUGAAGACGACGACGUUGAUAGGCCGGGUGUGUAAGCGCAGCGAUGCGUUGAGCUAACCGGUACUAAUGAACCGUGAGGCUUAACCUUACAACGCCGAAGGUGUUU
rnacentral:rRNA from 1 species